AAAUUCACCGCGGAUGGCGACCUGGCCAGGCAUUCCAACUGUCCAUCCAAGUACUUUAUCGGACAAUUGGUAUCCCUGUCAAGGUCUCAAUCCUCUCGGCGAGCUUUUUCC
rnacentral:pre_miRNA from 14 species